UGGUGAUCUGAAAAACAUAAAAAACUCUAAUCGGUUAACGUAAAUUUUAGGUUAUUUCAGCAUAUAUUUAGGUGACAUGUAAAAUGUGUUUGUCCGAAAGUUUUUUGUCUGAAAUUCUCAAAAAUACUAUCGAAAGUUUUUGUCCGAAGUUGUUCUGCAGAAACUUUUCCGUUCGAAAGUUUUCGGAUUUAAUGCAUCGGGUAUUCAAUGUAUCACGUUCUUUCUUAAUGGCAAUUCAUUUUUGAUUGUAUAGUAAAAUAGCUGUUUACGCAAAGCUGAUAUUCUUUGGGGCCUUGUCGAACAAUGGCUACUUUAAAAAAUACCGUUUUAAAUCUUUAGAGGACUAUGUUUUUAAUGAUUUCAGUAGAGGACAAAGAAACUGUUAUUGUCAUUGGAAGUUGUUUACGCCGUAGAAAUUGUAUAAAUGUAGAGCACUGCUGUCACAGGAGCAGAAUCAUUGUUGAAUUCAAGACCAUUGACGUACCACACAGCAAACGUGAGGAUGACAUGCCUUGUGACGCCAAAUCACCAGAACCAAAAGGGAGGAAAAUUCGCACCGGAGAUGGUACACAAAACGAUAUUCAGUUCAAGGCAACGACAGCGACAUGUUCAGGAAUGGGUGAAGAAUUUAUGGCAACGCUUGAUGAGAGAAUGACUACCAAGUCUGAAUCCCCCAACAACGAAAUGGCACAAAGAGAAAAGACACGUGAAGAAAAGAAAGCCUUGCAAUGAAUUCAAGAGCGGAUUAAAGAGAAAAAAAUUGAUCGUGCCAAAUGAAUUCUUUGGAUGGAAUGAUAUGUUUUUUCAUUUUAAAAAUUGUUAAAAAAAACUGAAACAGUUUCAGUGACCUUGACACUGCAAGAAAACAAUGAUGUUAAAACAUUGGUACAAGAAAACGGGCACGGUGUCAGUAGCAUUAACAAAAAAAACAAGGAUGGCCAGCUUUCCGUCAGAUACUCUGGCAAGUGUAUUUAUCAUGUGUGUCUUUGAAUGAAAACUAAAUUUUAAAAGAAGCUACCAAAUGAAACUAACCCCAACUAUAUCACCUUUGCUUUUUCCAGUUAAAACAUUGGUACAAAAAAAACAGGCACGGUGUCGGUAGCCUUGACAUUAAAGGAAACCAAGGAUGGCCAGCUUUCCGUCAAAUAUUCUGGUCCAGAGGAAUUUGCGAAUUUCGCAAAAAGUCCUCUUGUUGUAAAAGAAUUUUUGAGGGUGACAAAUGAGAAAGUCACCCAUGAUGACAGCCUAUAUCCAGUUGUUAUGGACAAUCAGGUCCUGGACUAUUUAGGAAAAGAAGAAGAUUUGAUAAAUCUCACGAUUUUCCAGAAACGGCGGCUUGUCAGCAAAAUUGUAACUGGCCCUGGUAUUGAUCGUGCCAAGUUGAAUUCUUUGGAUGGAAUGGUAUGUUUUUGCACAUGAAUGAAAAUUUCUUCUUUUUAACAGUGCUCAAGAAAAAAUAUAUACAAAAAUAAAUACAACAGCAAAAUUGUUUUUGCCGCUUUUACCUAAAAAUAAAUUUUUAAAGGUGUUUAGACUUUUUUCUUCAUUGGUCUCAAUUUGAAGACGGUUAGGCCACGGUUGAUCUGUCAUAACAUUGCUCCUAGCAUUGCGAAUGAACUGUGGCUUCGCAAAUGUCACAAGACAGACAUGAUUCGUUUAGAAGUGAGGUUGAUUUUGAUAGCACCUUAACCUCUAAGUAUAUUCAAAAUGUAUAUAUAUAUAAGGCAUUUCUGUAUGUAUGUAUGGAGUUUAAAAAUUGGUAAAAAAAACUGAAAAAGUUUCAAUGACCUUGACACUGCAAGAAAACAAUGAUGGUAAGUUGUGCGUCAGAUAAUCUGGCAAGUGUAUUUACCAUGUGUGUCUUUGGAUGAAAACUGAAUUUUAAAACAAGCUACCAAAUGAAACUAAGCCCAACUAUAUCACCUUUGCUUUUUCCAGUUGAAAAUUGGUACAAGAAAACAGGCACGGUGUCGGUAGCCUUGACAAUAAAGGAAACCAAGGAUGGCCAGCUUUCCGUCAAAUAUUCUGGCAAGUGUAUUCACCAUGUAUCUUUUUGGAUGAAAACUGAAUUUCAAAACAAGCUACCACAUGAACCAAAGCCCAACUGUAUCACCGUGUUUCUUCUCAUAGGUCCAGAGGAAUUUCCGAACUUCGCAAAAAGUCCUCAAGUGAAAAAAGAAUUUAUGAGGGUGACAAAGAAGAAAAUCACCCAUGAUGACAGCCUAUAUCCAGAUACCGGAUGGAUAUAUUAUUAUCAAAUGCAGUGAAUUUGGAAUGCAGUGUUGUAUUUAUAUUGAGCUAAUAUUCAGCAGGGCCUCCCACAUUUUCACAAAACUAAAGUGUUUUUGGAAAAUAUUUUGCAUCACUGGCAACUUGCAUCAGAAUCAAUAUGUUUUCUCAAAAUGAGAUCUAUGUUGUAUUUACUCCACUUGUUAUGAUAAAUCCUUCUCCAACUAUGUAAUUGUAAUUAUAUCUGAUUUUGGUAAUGUGUGAAGUAACAGAAUUGAUUGUGAUGUAAAUUUGCUUCUUCCACAGUUGUUAUGGACAAUCAGGUCCUGGACUAUUUAGGAAAAGAAGAAGAUUUGAUAAAUCUCACGAUUUUCCAGAAUCGGUGGCUUGUCAGCAAAAUUGUAACUGGCCCUGGUAUUGAUCGAGCCAAGUUGAAUUCUUUGGAUGGAAUGUUAAAAAAAUUGGUACAAGAAAACAGGCACGGUGUCGGUAGCCUUGACAUUAAAGGAAACCAAGGAUGGCCAGCUUUCCGUCAAAUAUUCUGGUCCAGAGGAAUUUGCGAAUUUCGCAAAAAGUCCUCUUGUUGUAAAAGAAUUUUUGAGGGUGACAAAUGAGAAAGUCACCCAUGAUGACAGCCUAUAUCCAGUUGUUAUGGACAAUCAGGUCCUGAACUAUUUAGGAAAAGAAGAAGAUCUGGUAAAUCUUAUGAUUUUCCAAAAUCGGUGGCUUGUCAGUAAAAUUGUAAAUGGCCCUGAAAUGUCGAAGCAAGCCAACGGGUGGAAAAGCAUGCCCAAAUGGUGGCCAGACAAUGUUCAAUUCAGGAGCCCAACCACAAGAAAUCCUGCACUGCGAGGAAAAGAUCUAAACAAAAUCAUUGAAGGGGUGCAAUCGUUUCCAUGUGUAGUAGCUGGAACGUGAGGCAAUGAAGAGAAUGUAAACAGCUUCAAGUUGUAGUUGCAAUUGCAAAAAGCUUUAGGUUGGCAGAUAUUCUUUGCUGCAGAUCUAAAAAACUUUUUAAUGAAGUUUUAUAUCACAAAAUAAAUAAACUGGUUAGAUAAUAAUGUGAAAAUUCCAAAAAUUAAAAAAAUGACAAAAGAAAACAAAGGAAACUUAUUUGUAUAUGUGUAUGCAUAUGUUAGACCAGAUAGCUUAACAGACAAUGCAGCUACAGCAGUAUUUACCCUUGUGAGAGCAAAAUAUAAAAAUUAUAGCCUGUGUAGCAAUUUUAAUAAUGUAUAUAAGUAUGUCAGUUUGUAAGUGAGUUUAGUUUAAAUCAGAGUUCUACAAGCAACAUACUCUCUCUCACUGGCUUUGUGCUCUUCACACGUUAAAUAGAACUCCCUUGGUUGGAAACAAAAUAUUAGUGGAUGGACGGUUUAUCCAGUGCCUACAUCUAUUGUUGUUCCAAUGUACACUAAUCCCUCAUACGCAUUCAUGAUUUCCCUAACAAAGGUCGUAUAUAUACCUUGCAAAAUCUAGGACAUAGAUUCUUUAAAAAGGGGUGUUUUGAGAAAAAGUUUAUCAUAGAGA